rnacentral:rRNA from 1 species
AUUGAACGCUGGCGGCAUGCCUUACACGUGCAAGUCGAACGGCAGCACGGGUGCUUGCACCUGGUGGCGAGUGGCGAACGGGUGAGUAAUACAUCGGAACGUACCUUAUCGUGGGGGAUAACGCAGCGAAAGCUGUGCUAAUACCGCAUACGCCCUGAGGGGGAAAGCGGGGGAUCGAAAGACCUCGCGCGAUUAGAGCGGCCGAUGCCUGAUUAGCUUGUUGGUGGGGUAAAAGCCCACCAAGGCGACGAUCAGUAGCUGGUCUGAGAGGACGAUCAGCCACACUGGGACUGAGACACGGCCCAGACUCCUACGGGAGGCAGCAGUGGGGAAUUUUGGACAAUGGGGGCAACCCUGAUCCAGCAAUGCCGCGUGAGUGAAGAAGGCCUUCGGGUUGUAAAGCUCUUUCGUCAGGGAAGAAACACCGGCUCUAACACAGUCCGGGAAUGACGGUACCUGAAGAAUAAGCACCGGCUAACUACGUGCCAGCAGCCGCAGUAA